GACGCGAGCGGGGUUGGCACCUUUUCCGUGAUGUCUCAAGACCGGGGACUUAAUAAUCAGACAGGGAAGAAGUCAGGAGAGGGGAGAUGAGCGACCAAGUGUCCAGAUGGAAAUGACAAGGUCAUUUCCUGGACUAUUUGGAUCAAGGGGGAAGCGUCGGUGCCUUCGAGGGCCUUCUAAAAACUUAGUGAGAGGAAGAGAGCUAAAAGUAACAUUCUACCUGUUGCCCAAAGUUCUUGAGUGCACACCUAAAGGCGCUGAAGAAUUUGUUCAUUUGCAAGUUGGUUUGGGAUGCAGGUCUGCAUUGAUUUCUGAGACCGACAAUCAUAAUCAGGUAUGUUCAGCACUCGCAGUUCUUUAUCCAAAACUGGACUGUGUUUCUGGAGGCUGGCUCUUGUACAAAGCAGCAGGAGGAUGGGGUUCGCGAAAACUUGCAAUGGUGUCUCCAGAGGAUAGUGGAUAUAAUGGAUUUCUUUUGAAAUCUGCAAGUGCAGGAGGAAAGAGUGUCCUAUACAUUGCCCCGUUACAAGAUGAGCUUGACACCGAACCGCUGCCUCCUGACUCCACAUCCUUUUGCAAAAUGCCAAGGCCAAUGUGCCACUCGUGCCACACAAGCUGCACGUUUUUACAUGCAGAUCCUAGCACUGCAUGUAAAAACGUGUCAGCCUUCAGAAUUUAAGCAUCAUAUCACAGAACCAUAUUGUUUUUUGAAGCUUAUUUGUUUUUUGUUUCUGUUAACAGGAUACACAGGAUGAUGUGGUUUUUUUAACCUCAAACACAGAAACUGUGUGCCCAGUCUGUGGCGAAGAAUUUCCUCCUGAUAAGGUGGAGGAACAUGCAAGUGACUGUGGAGAGAGCAGUGCAGACUUCGAUGCAACUUCAAACCACAAAAUUGAUAUUUCUAGCCUUGAGGACAUUCUGCAAGCUGUCUCUGCUGCUGUUAACAAAGAGGAAGAAUUUCCAGUAACUGUGUCGAGGGCCAAUAUGGUGGAGCGAGGCCUUGCUCAGUGGAAACGCCAAAAGAAGGCUUUGCCUACUAACAUGCUAAAAGUCACAUUCAUAGGGGAGUCAGGUGUCGACACAGGGGCAUUAAGAAAGGAGUUCCUCACAGACAUGGUUGCAGGCAUUGAGCAAAAGCUAUUUGAGGGUGACCAGAGUGGAAAAUGCCCCAAAUAUUCCAUGCUGGAUCUUGAUCAUGCAAACUUCAGAAGUGCUGGUGAAAUUUGGGCUGUGAGUCUGGCUCAAGGUGGGCCACCACCCUGCUGUCUCAAACUUUGGGUCUACAAAUACUUGUGUGAUGGAGAGCUGCAGAUACAGCAUAUACAGAAAGAGGAUGUCUGUGAUUGGAUAAACUGAUUAUCUCACAGGUUGAGUCAGCCACAGAAGCUGACAUCACUGAACUCACUGAGGAAAUUCUGAACUGUGGAUAUCAUGGACCUAUCUGUGUUGAAAAGAAAGAAGACAUUGUUCGCUCUGUUGUUCUUCAUGCCAUCCUACGGCUGCAGCCUUUUCUCUGUCAGCUGCGUGAAGGUCUGACACUGUAUGGUCUGGCUGAUUUAAUGAGCCAGUACCCAAAGAUCUGCCAACCACUCUUUGUUCCCGGGAAAGAGGUGAAGGCUGAUGCUGACUUUGUUUUUACAUCAUUCCAUCCCGAGUUCAGUGAGAAGGGCUCCAACAAAGAACAGGUGGAAGUUCGCAUCAUGAACCAUCUACAGGACUUCUUGCAAGAGCUUGAAACAAGUGAACCGACAGAGGAGGGUGACAAUCCAGGUUCCCUCUCCCCAAGUACAUUCCUGCAGUGGCUCACAGAACAAGGCCAUGUGCCUCUGCUGCCUGAGGAGAAGAACACCUUUAAACUGUUUGUGAAGUUCGAUCACACCUGUCACGUGAAGUACGGUGCUCAUGCAGUUUGCUACCCAACUGUUUCUGCAUGCAUCAAUACCAUCCAUCUGCCUGUUCAGCAUAUGCAAACCUUUAAUGCAUUCAAGCAAGUCAUGACAGAGGCCUUCUAUCAAGGGCAAGGAUUUCAUCAGGUUUGAGUUAAUGCAGUGUUAGAAUACUGAUACUGUAGUUUACUGUUGGGUACUGUUUUUAAUGCUGUUUACCUAUUAUGCAUUUACACACGUGUAGGUUCAGGAUGUUACACAUUUGAUAAAUGGUUCACACCAUCUGGUCAUUUCACAGAUCUUUCUUUUGAAAUGCAGUUGACCCAACCCCUCUAGUAACACUGAG